rnacentral:lncRNA from 1 species
GAAAGAAAGAAAUUUUGCUUUCCCUGAGCACUUAUCUUAGUGACAGGAUCUAGAAUGUGCCACAACACAGAUUAAAAUUUGGGGGAGAACCUCCCGUUACUAACAAUGAAGACAGAAAGGAAAGGGGGCAUAUCUUUGGCUUUUCCUUGGUUACGCUGCAGUUUCAGGAUUGGAUGAGGCAGACAAAUGAAACCUCCUCCAGUGUCGCUGUUCUAACCUGAGCCCUUAACUGAUAUCAGCCAGCUGGACAUUCCUUCCCCAGAUGGCCAGAUUGAAAUCUUGCUAAGAGUUUUACUGAGAAAUAAGGCCAGACCAACUACUGUGAGGCAUGCCUGAUGGCUUUGUGCCUUAAACAGUUAGAUGCUCAAGAUGGGGUGCCAGGAAUGCCUUCUUU